UACGUAGGUGGCAAGCGUUGUCCGGAUUUACUGGGCGUAAAGAGCGCGCAGGCGGUUGGAUAAGUCGAAUGUGAAAGCCCCCGGCUCAACUGGGGAGGGUCAUUCGAUACUGUCCGACUCGAAGGCAGGAGAGGGUAGUGGAAUUCCCGGUGUAGUGGUGAAAUGCGUAGAUAUCGGGAGGAACACCAGUGGCGAAGGCGACUACCUGGCCUGUUCUUGACGCUGAGGCGCGAAAGCUAGGGGAGCAAACGGG
rnacentral:rRNA from 1 species